UUCUAUUACAGUGAAAGAGAUGAUAUUUACAAAUGAUCGUGGUCCCUUUUAUAUAUAAGGGAAAAACCUUAAUAUGGUACAUUUCCAAUUAUGGCAAAGAAUCCUAUUGGUAUAGCUGUAUAACAAUAUAGUACGGACUUGUACUAUUUCGUACAAAUCUUAUCCUAUAAUUUAUGCCAUGAUCCAUGUGUCCUUGAGAAAUUCCUGCUCUUUCUUGAGUAUUAUCGAAAUUAUACAGCCCUUGAGGCAGAUCAUGAUGGGUCUCCGAUUUGCUCCCUCGAGGUAUGCAUAUCUCGGCGGCUCGAUUCUUACUUCGAACUUUCGAACUCGAGCUCGGGGUAUGAUCAAGUCUUCUAAAUUGAGCUCUCCGUUUACAAUAUCAAAUUUUAACCCUUUAAAAUGUACUCUAAGGUUAGCUGGAAACUGAAGAUAGAUAAUAAGACGAUGGUAUAUGUAUGGUUCUAACGAGUAAAGAAAUGGAAGAUCUUUUGAGUUGAGAUAGGAAGAAUGGCGCAGAAAUAGUAGGAAAUAUGUUUGGUAUGAAUAAUUACAUGUGAA
rnacentral:lncRNA from 1 species